rnacentral:piRNA from 1 species
UGAUCUUACUUUGACGAUAUUUCAG